rnacentral:rRNA from 1 species
UACGAGGGAUGCAAGCGUUAUCCGGAUUUAUUGGGCGUAAAGAGUUUGUAGGUGGCUUAGUGUGUUUAACGUUAAAUAUCAGAGCUUAACUUUGAAUUCGCGUUAAAAACUAUUAGGCUUGAGUAUGGUAGAGGUAAAGGGAAUUCCCAGUGUAGCGGUGAAAUGCGUAGAUAUUGGGAAGAACACCAACGGCGAAAGCACUUUACUAGGCUAAUACUGACACUGAGAAACGAAAGCUAAGGUAGCAAAACGG